GUCAGAGCCAUAUCUCCCUGCAGUUCUCACCUGGUUUCCCACUGAAGUUAAGCAGGGUUGAGUGUGGCCUGUACCUGGAUGGGAGACCACCUGGGGAAAACUAAGGUUGCUGUUG
rnacentral:rRNA from 1 species